rnacentral:lncRNA from 1 species
GUCUGGCGGGGAAGGCAGUGCUGGGCCGUGGGGAGCGGGUGGGAUGGAAGAACCUGGAGUGAGGGGCAGGAGGGCAGAGCAGCAGCUUCUCUGGGGGGCUCAGUCAGCAGCCUGGUUCUAAGACAAUACACAUAAUUGGGAUUACUUUCUGUGCCGAGUUCCCCCAACCCACGCGGAGGCGCAGGCCCUCUGAACUUAGGCGUGGGGGCAGGCUUUCUGGCCUAUCAUUAUUUCACUCUGGAGGACUGGUCAGUCCACAAGGGGGGGGGGCCCUGAUGUGCUCUCCAGGGUGUCCAGGGCUGUCUGGAGAUGGAGGGGAGGGAGGGGGCCCCACGCCAUCCCUUGGGGCAGGGAAGUUUCAGGAAAUGCCCUGAGUCACCCAAGCUCAAUGCCAAGCCACAUCUUCUCCCUGCAGUCUGCCAAGAGGGAGCUGACCGCACCUGGGGGCACCCCACGUCCAGCUGUGCCCACGCAGAACUCUGUGCAGCUCAGGUUUUUGCUUCCAAAGCACACCCCGCCCACCUGCCCUUUGCAGAGGUGAGCUGUGUGCACAUGCCACCUCCCGGCGGGCCUGCGCACCCAAUCUCUCAGGCCCCAGGGUGGCAACCCCUGUGGGGGGCCUUUCUGUACUCACCUGCAUUUGUAAGGAGUAGGUAGCGGGGAAAGACGGGGCGGGGGUGGGGGAGGAGGGACUGGAGCAAGAGGAGAUGCCAAGGGUGGAGGGCAGGGUGGUCAAAAGGUUUGCAAGUGUCCCACUGGGCCAGGUCGCUGGUCCAGCCCAGGCACCACCCAGUGAUGUGACAUCCACAUGCUGUGCAGGUAGACACAUCAAACAGGUCGGCCUCCUCUGGAGAGGACCCGGGUCCUGUUUUGUGUCUGUUUUUACUGGGAACAGGACAGGCAGCGCAGACACACCACCUGUGUUCAGCUGAGCUCCGGCUCCACUCAGUGGAGACUGCCAGGGCCUGGGCAAGUGGACGCUGCUCCCGCAUGGCGCUCUCCUCCGGGGAUCAUGAUGCUUCACAAACCAUGGAAAAGCACAAGAAAGAGAGGUGGGAUGGGGAGCCUGGGUCAACCUCCCAGAAGGGACCCAGAUCUCCAAGUGUUGUUAACGUUCAGCCUCUUAUGCCCAAGACACAUAUCUUAAGAUGCUCCUCUCCUUCUCUCCCCCACCACACACACACGAAGUUGAUCUGCAAAGGAAACUUCUGGAAACUUCCAUUGUUUGAGGAAUGAGCUUCACGAGGGGCCUCUCCCCCUCCACUCCAACGGCCUGGGGUCAAGGGAGAGUGUUUAACUUCACAGGGCCCCAUUUGCAGCAUCUGAUGACUCCUCAGGGUCAGGAUUUCCCCUCCACGUAAAUAACCCUCACUCCCUCAUCCUAUGCUAGAGGAAUGAUUGUACAUGAGUGGGAUGGGGGAUGAGGAGGGGAAGGGCAUGAUCUGUCAAAAAAAAAAAAAA